GUUAUUAUAUAAAACACAAUUCUUCAUAGAUCUGCGUAAUGGAGGACAAGCUGGGGCCCUUAGGCAUAUUUGGUGUGCGGGACCUUGUUGACUGUUGUCAAUGUUUGACUGAGAUAUUAUAUUUAUAUUCAAUAUUCAUAAAAAGUUCUGGAAAAUUCAGUGCCCAUAACAAAAACAAUAACAGUCUCCAACACAUGUAACAACUAAUAAGAAUAACUUUUGUUUUAUUUGAGAUGGAAUAAAAAAAAUCAGCUACCAUAUUUGUUGAUGGAAUAACCUGCAUGUUUUACAUUUUCUAAUUUUCUGGGUGAUAAGCCGUGGCUGAUGGGGGCCCCUGAAUGUCUGUUAGUUUUUUAACUAACCCUACCUAAUGAGCGUUACACCACUGGUUACAAGUGUUGUUUAAUUGGUAUGUUGGCAAAUUAAUGAACUUUAUGCAAAAUCAGAAUCAAAGUAUUUCAGAUGCCAAUACUGAGAAAUUUUAGGGUUUAAAAUUAUUAUUUCUCAGUCACAACAAGAAUUGCCUAGCUGCGGCAAAUAUACGAUUGUCCAUUGCUUGUAACUGGGUUUUUUCCAUGUUAUCUGUAUACAAAGAGAAUACUUCUUAGCACAUUAUUAUUAAAAAAUCACUAUGGCAAUAUGCCAUACUCGGCAGUCUUUUAUAGGAUCAAACAACGAUAUGAGAGUGCAUGAGAACAAACAAUUCCCAUUAUAAACUAAUUUUUUUAACUUGGCAAAAAAAGUACAUUCCUGGAAACAGGAUACUAAAAUGAGUAAAAUUGCAAAGUUUGGUUGCGAAAUGUAGUAAAAUGCGGAAAAUAUAGCCUUGCAAAUGUGUGCGGAAAUUGCACCACAUUUGUGCCGAAAAUGGGCCAUUCCAUUUAAUAUCCGUACCCCCCCCCUGUCGAGGAUCCCUGGAAUUCUUCAGGGGUAAAGGGUUUUGAGCUUGGAAUUCUUCAGGGGUAAAGUGUUUUGAGCUUGGAAUUCUUCAGGGGUAAAGUGUUUUGAGGUUGGAAUUCUUCAGGGGUAAAGGGUUUUGAGCUUGGAAUUCUUCAGGGGUAAGGAGGUUUGAUUUGAAAUUUUUCAGAGCUUGGAAUUCUUCAGGGGUAAAGGCUUUUCUGCUUGGAAUUCUUCAGGGGUAAAAGGUUUUGAGCUUGGAAUUUUUCAGGAGUAAAGGGUUUUGAGUUUGGAAUUCUUCAGGGGUAAAGGGUUUUGAGCUUGGAAUUCUUCAGGGGUAAAAGGUUUUGAGCUUGGAAUUCUUCAGGGGUAAAGGGUUUUGAGCUUGGAAUUUUGGAAUUCUUCAGGGCUAAAAGGUUUUGAGCUUGGAAUUCUUCAGGGGUAAAGGGUUUUGAGCUUGAAAUUCUUCAGGGGUAAAAGGUUUUGAGCUUGGAAUUCUUCAGGGGUAUAACCAUAAAAAACAUGUAUCCUCGACAGGGGGUGCACGGAUAUUAAAUGGAAUAGCCCAAUACAAAAGUAUACAAAAUUUGCAAACUUUGCAAGGCUAUAUUUUCCGCAUUUUACAACAUUUCGCAACCAAACUUUGCAAUUUGACUUAUUUUAGUAUGCUCUUUCUAGCUGUGGUAAUUUAUUUGCAUCUCCUUGCCUAGUUUUAAAAUUAGUCUAUAAUGGAAUUGUAUAUUGGCAGCUAGGACAGCUUGUCACGCCUUUGGCUAGUUGUUCUGAGAUGCUUUCUCAAACAAUAGCAGUAGUGUAUUUAGGUUAAAACUUACUGUAAUUCGAGUUAAAACAAACCGUUAUUUUGUUAAUAUCUAGAGCUUCAAAUGUCUCCUGUAACAAUACGACUCAUUCUAGUUUGAUCUUGAGUCUGGGCACCCAUUUGAAAUAAAAAUUUUAGCUAGCUUAGAAGAAUCAGGGCGCUUCCAAUAUUUAUACACGGCCAGACUAGUAUUAAGAAUGGUCAAAUUGUUGAAUGGAACACAAAACGUUUGGGCUUUGGACCCAAUCUGACCGGAAAAUUUAGAUACGAACAUUAGAUUGAUUCCAUAUUCGCCAGAUAUUUGAGAAACAGACUUGAUCUUUCCAUUGAUACAGAGACAAAAAUUUACUGGGCACAUUACAUGGAAAGCGCUCUCAGUUACACGUCAUUUAAUCUCUAUAUUUUAAGCUCAAUUUCUCUCCAUCUCCACUAAAACGUUGGUUUGGCGAGUUAUUUUCAGAGCUAAAUACAAAUCAAAGCACUAAAGAACUUCUUACCAUAUAAACUUUGUCAGCAAAGCGUCAAAUGUCUGAACAUUGUGGUUAUUGGUGGCGACUGUUUUCGUCGUUGGACCGUUCGGCAAACUUUCUCUUCGCGUUUUCGUUACCACUCGUUUAUUUCGUACUUUGUCCAGAUUCUUGUGCAUAGAUAUUGUAAAAAAAUAUGUUAAAACCGUUCCCAAAACGUCGGAUUGCAAUAGAUUGAAAUGACUACAAUUGCCCAACAGCCCAAGGCACUAACAACAAUUCAGAGCACCACAAAGCACACGCAAAGCAUCACCACAUUCCGAGCAUGUUGGGGACCUUCCCGCAAUGCAAUGCGACUCAUUGCGCAUUUUAUUCAGAGUUUGGUAAAAUAUUGUGCUUUUGGUCAAAUGUGGUUGAUUUUCGCCAAAUUUUAGUAACAAAACGUUCCACAGAGCAUUGAUUCGCUGGGGCUAUGGAAUUAGUCACCUCUGUAUAUGGGGAAACUAGCCUCCUCCGCAGGCAUGUCUUAAUCG